rnacentral:rRNA from 1 species
AUUGAACGCUGGCGUCAUGCCUAACACAUGCAAGUCGAACGGCAGCAUGAUAAGAGCUUGCUCUUAUUGAUGGCGAGUGGCGGACGGGUGAGUAAUAUGUAGGAAUCUAACUAGAGGAGGGGGAUAACUUAGGGAAACUUAAGCUAAUACCACAUAAGCCCUACGGGGGAAAGCAGGGGAUCGCAAGACCUUGCGCCUUAUGAUGAACCUACAUAGGAUUAGCUUGUUGGUGGGGUAAAGGCCUACCAAGGCGAUGAUCCGUAGCUGGUCUGAGAGGAUGACCAGCACAACUGGGACUGGGGACCGACCCAGACUCCUACGGGAGGCAGCAGUGGGGAAUAUUGGACAAUGGGGGCAACCCUGAUCCAGCAAUGCCGCGUGUGUUAAGAAGGCCUUAGGGUUGUAAAGCACUUUCAGUGGGGAGGAAGGGUUUAAUGCUAAUAUCAUUGAACAUGGACGUUACCCACAGAAGAAGCACCGGCUAACUCUGUGCCAGCCGCCGCAGUAA